UACGGAGGGUGCAAGCGUUGUCCGGAAUCAUUGGGCGUAAAGCGCGCGUAGGCGGCCCUGUAAGUCCGUUGUGAAAGUCAAAGGCUCAACCUUUGAAAGCCGAUGGAUACUGCAGGGCCAGAGUCCGGAAGAGGCGAGUGGAAUUCCUGGUGUAGCGGUGGAAUGCGCAGAUAUCAGGAGGAACACCAAUAGCGAAGGCAGCUCGCUGGGACGGUACUGACGCUAAGGCGCGAAAGCGUGGGGAGCGAACAGG
rnacentral:rRNA from 1 species